CCCCAGAGGAGGCCGGGACACCCACAAACAGGUGGAAUGUGUGUGGGAUGAAGGGUCCAAGAAAGUGAAGAUCACUGCUUCAACUAUUCAUUCCUUGAUGGAGGCUUAGUGGGGUAUGGGGUGAGGCAGGGACACCAACCAGGGAAGGGACACCAGAAUAGCAUUCCCUACCCACUCUGUACUAUGUACCAGGGGUCACAAGUCACACCCAUGGGGAGCAACUGUCGUCGGUGGGAGGGAUGGAUGGGAGCGGAGCUGGUGGCAGCCAGCUGAGUCACAUCCUAUCCUCCUCACCUGCCCGGCCCUUAGCAACAGCAAACACAGCAGACAACCUAGGUCUCUUUGAGAAGUCAUCCCUGUGGCUCUGUUAUUUGCCAACGACAUCGAUUCCCUCUUCUAGAACCCUGCAGACAUUCCUGGUUUCCUGGACUCCAGGCUAGGGGCUGUUUGAAGGAAUAGGAAGCCAACUACUGAGAUGCUGCCUAGAAACUCAGGCUUAAAUCAGAAAUCUCCAAUGAGCUCCCAGGUCAGCGUCCCGUCCAGAUCCUCCGGGUAAAAGUAGUGGCCGAAGUCCUUGGCAGCAUUCUGGAAGCAGUACUCUACAGGGGAAGGGAUGGCAGCUAGAGUCAGCCAGGACUCUCCCUGGAUCACUGUUUACCAUCACACUUCAUCUGCUCCUGCUGCUCACAGUUCUGAGGGGCCGCUCAACUCACCGGCAGGGUCGAAGCUGAAGGUUAGAGAGUCCUCAUCCACCGUGGUGAAGUUACCAUUGUAGCACAGUAUGUGGUCUGCCAGAAAUAAAGGAGGAGAAAAACACAACAAAAACCAUAAAGGCUUCUUUCUGCCUGUCUGUCAACAGCCAGGCCUCCCCUUCUCCCACCAGGGCCCCUCCCCUUCUCCCACCAGGGCUCCUCCCCUUCUCCCACCAGGGAUCCACUCCUUUUCCCACCAGGACUCCUCCCCUUCUCCUACCAAGACUUCUCCCCUUCUCCCACCUGGACUCCUCCCCUUCUCCCACCAGGGUUCCUCCCCUUCUCCCACCAGGGAUCCACCCCUUCUCCCACCAGGGCUCCUUCUUUCUCCUUCCUCUUCCUUUACU